AGGCUGUAAGAAAAGAAAGAAAGAAUGAGCAUGAAGUCUGUUCUAGUUUGAACCGCUUUACUUCCACCUCACUGCGCAGCUUCCCUGCCAGAAGUUCCCUCAACAUGAAUAUCUUAUGGAACGCACUGGAAGCCCCCUUCAGUGUUUCUCUUAUCUGUUUUGCUGAUCACAAAUGCAUAUCCGACUUCGUCGCCCCUCUUCUCAGUGUGACAGGUGCAACAAAGCCCAAAUCCAAAUUCAGCUGAUUUUGGUUCCUCGUGUAGACCAAUGGAGGCGCGCGUCUGGCUGUCGCCGGCGGGGUUUCGGCUGAUAGUCGGCCACCUGUGCCAAUCAUGACGCCUGUGGGAGGAGCUAAGCGCCUCAGAGGUGUGUCUGAAAUAAUUCGAGUCUGCAGCUGCAUUUCGCGUCUAAGUCGGGGAGUAUUGGCAUGAUUUCUGUGCUUCAUGCCGUCUAGAAAAGCUUCUUGUUUUUGGUUAAAAACCAUGUCCGCUUUCAUUUGAGUCACACAUCAGGCUUGAAUGAACAGAGAGGCGAGCUAAAGCACAGUCCGGGUAAACUGCAAACUUACUCAGAGGCUGCACCACAAGUCUCCAAAACUCGCGAUCUGAGGAGACACCAGACCAGACGCAAACGAAAUCAUCCUUUAGGAAGGAGGGAUACGCUUUUGGACAUGUGAACUUAAAGGAGAUACCUGUCAAGCACAACCAUGAAACCGACGACUGUCCUUUGCUGCUUCAGCUUUAUCCUGCUGCUUGGGUUCGGCUCUUCUCAAUCAGGUUUUCAGACGACAGCAGGUUGUGCAAAGCAAUAUGCUUUGUGUGACCAUGUGGUUCCUGCACAGCACACUCCUCUUCAUUUGACUGCUGCAAUGCACGGAAGCCGGAGGAGCUGGGGACGCAUGCAGAUGCCGUUCCGGAGCCAUAUGGCCACAUUCAAAGGCUGUGUCUGAAAAUACAAGUGCUCGAAUUUUGUGUACGAAGGCGUGAAUUCGAGUCAUCUGUUCAAUGCAAAUCUGUGUGAAUCUGGCAGUGUUAUCAGUGCAAUUUAGAUAAACUACCUCUUCCAGCAAUCCUGCCUUGCAGCUCUUUCAAAAGUUCUAUUCUUUUCCCAGCAGACUCAAAAGGGGGAUGAAGGAUGUAGCCCAAGGGUAUCUGAUAUUUUGGUUCUGUGAUCCUUUCUUUUCCUAAAGUUAAGAGAUCUAACUCAGUCCGGUGUGGGUUCAGUUUCAAAAUAUUUGCUCGGUUUAAAAGCAGCACAGAAAUAUUAUCAACAUGGAUGCAGGGACAUUUUGACAUCUUACUUCGGACUUUCUGUACUUUCAGAAUACAGAAUUUUACAUUCUCUGCACUGGCUAGUUUUUACUACCAGUUGGAGAUUGAGGAAAGAAUAGUGUGGCAUUUAGCAGCCCACACAGCUCCGCUAUGUCACAAAGCCCUUUCCCAUUCAUAUAUGCUGUUGCCUGUUAAAGAAUCUCUGACCCUUCGCUGGCACCAUGCUUUAUACUAGAAGAAUAGACAUCAUUGAUUAGGUGCUGAUCCACUUCUAUGUUUUGAGGAAAAGGAAUGUGAUCCUUGGCAGUUGUGCCAUUUGGAUAAAAGACAAAGAGUCACAUUAGGCCAUUGAUCCUCCAAACGGACAAAGCGGGAACAAAAGUGAUGGUCAAGAUGUUGGUUAAUGUUCAAAUUGUGUGAGGCUCUGUUCCACCACCACAGGGACAUGUGCAUGGGUUGCAUCUUAUUUUGCGUCUUGUAAUAAAAGUGACGUUGAGUUCUUCAGGAUUUUCAUUUAUGAAGACGUAAUUGAGGCCGCUGUUUUCCACUUUUGACUUUUUGAUGGGCUUGGAGUGUCAGCAGUGAGCAGAAAUGAUGGGGCUGUAUCUAGUGUGACCUUUCAAACCCCCCGCUCUCUCAUUUAUCACCUGCAGGCAUGAGUGCAG
ensembl:lncRNA